rnacentral:rRNA from 1 species
UACGUAGGGUGCAAGCGUUAAUCGGAAUUACUGGGCGUAAAGCGUGCGCAGGCGGUUUUGUAAGUCUGUCGUGAAAGCCCCGGGCUCAACCUGGGAAUUGCGAUGGAGACUGCAAGGCUUGAAUCUGGCAGAGGGGGGUAGAAUUCCACGUGUAGCAGUGAAAUGCGUAGAGAUCGGGAGGAACACCUGUGGCGAAGGCGGCCCCCUGGGCCGGCCCUGACGCUGAGACGCGAAAGCGUGGGGAGCAAACAGG